rnacentral:rRNA from 1 species
UAUAAGCAAUUAUACAGCGAAACUGCGAAUGGCUCAUUAUAUAAGUUAUCGUUUAUUUGAUAGUACCUUACUACUUGGAUAACCGUGGUAAUUCUAGAGCUAAUACAUGCUAAAAAUCCCGACUUCGGAAGGGAUGUAUUUAUUAGAUUAAAAACCAAUGCCCUUCGGGGCUCACUGGUGAUUCAUGAUAACUCCUCGAAUCGCAUGGCCUUGUGCCGGCGAUGGUUCAUUCAAAUUUCUUCCCUAUCAACUUUCGAUGUUUGGGUAUUGGCCAAACAUGGUUGCAACGGGUAACGGAGGGUUAGGGCUCGACCCCGGAGAAGGAGCCUGAGAAACGGCUACUACAUCCAAGGAAGGCAGCAGGCGCGCAAAUUACCCAAUCCCGACACGGGGAGGUAGUGACAAUAAAUACUGAUACAGGGCUCUUUUGGGUCUUGUAAUUGGAAUGAGUACAAUUUAAAUCCCUUAACGAGGAACAAUUGGAGGGCAAGUCUGGUGCCAGCAGCCGCGGUAAUUCCAGCUCCAAUAGCGUAUAUUAAAGUUGUUGUGGUUAAAAAGCUCGUAGUUGAACCUUGGGCCUGGCUGGCCGGUCCGCCUCACCGCGUGUACUGGUCCGGCCGGGCCUUUCCCUCUGUGGAACCCCAUGCCCUUCACUGGGUGUGGCGGGGAAACAGGACUUUUACUGUGAAAAAAUUAGAGUGCUCCAGGCAGGCCUAUGCUCGAAUACAUUAGCAUGGAAUAAUAGAAUAGGACGUGUGGUUCUAUUUUGUUGGUUUCUAGGACCGCCGUAAUGAUUAAUAGGGACAGUCGGGGGCAUCAGUAUUCAAUUGUCAGAGGUGAGAUUCUUGGAUUUAUUGAAGACUAACUACUGCGAAAGCAUUUGCCAAGGAUGUUUUCAUUAAUCAGGAACGAAAGUUAGGGGAUCGAAGACGAUCAGAUACCGUCGUAGUCUUAACCAUAAACUAUGCCGACUAGGGAUCGGACGGUGUUAUUUUUUGACCCGUUCGGCACCUUACGAGAAAUCAAAGUGCUUGGGCUCCAGGGGGAGU